rnacentral:ncRNA from 2 species
AAAGUGAAUUUAAAAUAAAAUAGUCGAUUAGAUGUCAGGGAAAGAGGUGAAAGUCCUCUACAGACCUACCUACUGUAAGGUGGAUGAAACCAAUAGGACCACAGAUAAUUCUGGAAGGGUUGGGAGUAAAUGGAAGCCAAGUCAGGAGACCGGUUUAACGGCAAUCAUGUUC